GGGGCCGACUUGGCUUCGACGCGUAGCCUGCGACCCGGACGCUACAACCCGGCCGUUCCCUCGAAGUGGCCGCAAAAGAAAUCGAGGAACUUAUAGUUGGCAACCUUACCAACUUUGAGGACAAGACCGGCGCCAUCGCCGACGAGGCGAUGGACCGGCUCGCGGAGACCGACGAGGUCUUCGCGGACGAGUCUGCGCUUUGCGCGUAGGCUUGCGGGAGGCCUUGCGCCUCCCGCCCUCCAUCACGGCCUUGACGCCGAUAGAUAACCGCUGAGACUGCGGGUGCCGUGGUGUUACAAAUCGGCAGACCCUGUGGCCUCUCGCCCACCUGAGCCCCGACGUGAAACGAAAGGGGAAGCGAGGGUGCGCCUGUUCUGGCCGCUGUCACCUGCGGCGAAAGGGCAAAGACAAGUGGUGAUAAUGGUUGUAACAAAGGCCGAACGGUCAGCUAUGCGGACGCGGGUUCGAGUCCCGCCGGCUCCGCAA
rnacentral:tmRNA from 1 species